rnacentral:rRNA from 1 species
AUGGAGAAUAAUCUACCAGUCAAUAUUCGCGAGUAUCAAGAACUCGCCAAGAAAGCACUGCCAAAGAUGCACUAUGAUUAUAUCAAUGGAGGAGCAGAGGAUGAACACACAUUGAGGGACAACAUUGCAGCAUAUGGAAGAAUUUUGUUGCGACCUCGGGUUCUUGUAGAUGUCAGCAACAUAGACAUGUCGAUAAACUUAUUGGGAUAUGACAUGCCCUCGCCCAUAAUUGUUGCACCAACAGGAUCACACAAAUUGGCAAAUCCAGAAGGGGAGGUGGCUACAGCAAGAGCUGCAGCAUCAUGUAAUACCUUAAUGGUGCUAUCCUUCUCAGCCAGUUGCAAAAUCGAGGAAGUUGCCUCCAGUUGUAAUGCGAUUCGUUUUUAUCAGUUAUAUGUUUUUAAAAACAGGGAUGUUUCAGCAACAUUGGUGCGGCGGGCUGAGAGUCAUGGAUUCAAAGCAAUUGUUUUAACAGUUGACACUCCUAUGCUCGGUCGACGUGAAGCAGAUAUCAGAAAUAAAAUGGUUGCUCCUGCGAAUGCAAACCUCGAAGGUUUGAUGCCAAUAGAUGAUCUUGAUACUACAGGCGGGUCGAAGCUUGAGAAGUAUGCGCGCGACACUCUGGACCCGUCUUUAUCAUGGAAGGACGUGGAGUGGCUGAAAUCCAUAACCAGCCUGCCCAUUCUACUGAAGGGCAUCGUGACCGCCGAGGACGGUAAGUCGGUAAACGCUGUUCGGGAUCUUCACAGUCAUUCAGAGGAUAAAUUUGUUGAUCAUCUUUUAUCUUUUAUACUACAUGAAAUGCUGAACAACCAGGGGGGGGGGGCAAACAGCCAGGAAAGCAGUGGAGGCCGGGGCAGCAGGCAUCAUCGUGUCCAACCACGGCGCUCGGCAGCUCGACUACGCGCCGGCCACCAUAUCCGCCCUCGAAGAGGUAGUGAAGGCGGUGGUGGGGGCGGUCCCGGUGCUGGUGGACGGCGGAGUCCGGCGGGGGACCGACCUGCUCAAGGCGCUGGCGCUGGGUGCGCGGGCAGUCAUGGUGGGGAGGCCGGUGCUGUACGGGCUGGCAGCGAGGGGCCAGGCGGGGGCGAAGCACGUGAUCGAGAUGCUCAACAGGGAGCUGGAGCUGGCCAUGGCGCUCUGCGGCUGCCGGAGCGUUGCCGAGAUCACCCGUGA